rnacentral:lncRNA from 1 species
CUCCAUCCCUAAUUUCCAUGUCCCAAUAGUCAAAUCUCCUCCCCGGCCCCCCCAAACCCCAACCCACGCACCCAUCGAUCCAUCAAUGGCUAAGCGAACCCUCCCCCUUCUCAAGCACCUACUUCACUCCCCAUCCCAUGCCCAUUCCUUAACAUCAACCCGAUCCGUCACCUACAUGCCUCGACCCGGUGACGGCACUCCACGUGCCGUCACCUUAAUCCCUGGUGACGGGAUCGGACCUCUCGUCACUGGUGCAGUCGAACAAGUCAUGGAGGCGAUGCAUGCUCCUGUGUACUUCGAGCGUUACGAUGUUCAUGGCGAUAUGAAGAGUAUGCCUCCGGAGGUAAUGGAUUCGAUCCGGAA